UUCGCCAGUAUUCCGAGUUCUCACCGUGGGAGUUCUCGGGUGGCACGUCUGCAUCUGCAUCCUGGGCGGGGACACUGGCUGCCUCGAAUCUUCGAGCACGGGGAGCUGCUGGGAGAGCGCGACUGCGUGAGGGCCUCAAGGCGCCCUGGCCAUCGGGAGCAGGAUGGGGGCGUGGACCCCCUCCUCCGCUCGGUGAGGGUAUCCAGGCCGCAGCUGGAAACCCGACCUUGAGCCACAGGCUCCAGCACACGGCCUUAGGUGGGCCGGGCCCCAGACGGAUCCCCAGUGUCUGUGUCCUGCCGCGCCCUGUGCUCGGGCCGGGCUCUGGAGCCAUCGAUGGCCUCUUGAGCUGCAGCAGGUGGCCAGUUCAUCGUUUGAUGGGCUCCUAAGGCCGGCAUCCCCAGGGAGGCAAGAAGAGGGCCACCCCGCAACCCCCUUUGCUCUGCCAACUUCCUUUCUGGUGGCUCCAUAUUUCUCUGGAAGUCUCUUCUGGCUGCCGGUGCCUCAAGACCAGCCUUUCCGGGCUAUCGGAACGGCCCGAGAGGGAAAAAAAGGCAGUAUUUCUUCUUUCCUCCGUGGCAUCGUGGGGCCCUCUGUGAGGUGCAGUUUCUCUGCCUCCCCCCCAGAACAAAGGACCCUCCUUCCAGGCCCUGCUCAGAGUAGGCGGAAGUACAGACCGGACACUGCGGAGGACCCCCAUGGGGAGAAGCCCACGGAGGGCCAACAGGGGUGCAGUGAGGACGGUCUGACGUGACCCCAAGGUCAUGAGCAGCUCCUGAUCAGACCCAGGCAGGCCCCUGUGUGGACUACUCACUGCCACAUGGGGGGUGACAUGUGCAACAUGGUGCCAGACAAAUAGGAUCCCAUCGGCUUUGCACCACUUGUGAGUCUUCAGUCACCCCAACAAACCCGGAGUGUCAACAAUCCCCUGAGAGCGGUGAGUGCCCCGCCCGUGCCCUCGAAGCUUCCUGCAGCCCUGGGAGGAGUGGCAGUUCCAGCCAGGGCCCUUGUUGCCCCAACAGAACCCAACGUGGGCUCAGUCUCGCAGAAACGGCGUUUAUCAGAAGGAUACCAAGUGGCUCACAGAAUCAACAGAAAGAGAAAACAGGCCCGUGAAGUGGGCAGGGACCCAGGGAGGGUGGCAGCUGGGACUGUCCCCAUCCAGACCUUCCUCCCAGAAGCUCACUGAGGCCUUGGCCGGUGAGGACACUGACCAGUAGAAGCAACUGCGGCGUGGCGGAGAGGACACUGUCCUCUGUGGCUCACUGUCCACGUGGCUCCCGUGGCUCGGCGGAUGGCGGGUGGAACGACGUCAGAGGGGGUCCAUUGGAAAUGCCAGCUGCUGCCAAGGCUCGGGCUGCCUGUCUGUGCCUUAACUCCGACGUGCCCUCUGGGUUGUCUACUUAUUACCUGCGCCUUCCACACCGCUGUCUCGUCCCGCAGGGGCCGCGGGCGCCCACCCGGCACUGCGGGGCUCUGGGGGGGGGGGCACGCCCAAAAGGACGGCAUCCGCUGAGCCCCUGACCCUGCAGCUAGGGGCUGAUGAUGGGGAGCCGCAGUGAGCAGGUCACCCCACAAAGCCUUGUUCCCUUCCCUCCCUGUACCCUUCCUUCCACCAUCCAACCUCCCUCCUAGGCCCAUGUCUUGAAAUGAGAGGUUGAAAAUGUGUCCCACUGUAGAAAUGUUGGAGAGUAUGGAAGCACAGAGAUAAAAAUGAAAAAUAAAAGUUACCUAUAAUCCUGGCACCCAGAAAUAUCUUUCAUAAAGGGUUCAAUUUUAUAAGCAAAUCCUAACAUGUAUCAUAGCA